rnacentral:rRNA from 1 species
GACGAACGCUGGCGGCGUGCUUAACACAUGCAAGUCGAGCGGAGCGGCGAACGGGUGAGUAACGCGUGAGUAACUGGCCCCCUCUCUGGGAUAACAGUUGGAAACGGCUGCUAAUACCGGAUAGUGUGGGAUGACUAGCGGCAUAUCAGCUUGUUGGUGGGGUAGUGGCCUACCAAGGCGACGACGGGUAGCCGGCCUGAUAGGGCGAACGGCCACCAUUGUCGUAGAUACGGCCGAAACUCCUACGGGAGGCAGCAGUGGGUAAUAUUGCACAAUGGGGGAAACCCUAAUGCAGCAACGCGCGUGCGGGAUGACGGCCUUCGGGUUGUAAACCGCUUUCAGCCAUUACGCGGUAGUGGCAGAAGAAGCACCGGCUAACGACGGGCCAGCAGCCGCGGUAAUUC